rnacentral:rRNA from 1 species
GACGAACGCUGGCGGCGUGCCUAAUACAUGCAAGUUGAGCGCUUAAGGUUGGUACUUGUACCAACUGGAUGAGCAGCGAACGGGUGAGUAACGCGUGGGGAAUCUGCCUUUGAGCGGGGGACAACAUUUGGAAACGAAUGCUAAUACCGCAUAAAAACUUUAAACACAAGUUUUAAGUUUGAAAGAUGCAAUUGCAUCACUCAAAGAUGAUCCCGCGUUGUAUUAGCUAGUUGGUGAGGUAAAGGCUCACCAAGGCGAUGAUACAUAGCCGACCUGAGAGGGUGAUCGGCCACAUUGGGACUGAGACACGGCCCAAACUCCUACGGGAGGCAGCAGUAGGGAAUCUUCGGCAAUGGACGAAAGUCUGACCGAGCAACGCCGCGUGAGUGAAGAAGGUUUUCGGAUCGUAAAACUCUGUUGGUAGAGAAGAACGUUGGUGAGAGUGGAAAGCUCAUCAAGUGACGGUAACUACCCAGAAAGGGACGGCUAACUACGUG